rnacentral:rRNA from 1 species
AAGAAGGCCUUCGGGUUGUAAACCUCUUUCCAGGGAGGGACGAAGCCUACUCGGGUUAAUAGCCCUAGAGGGUGACGGUACCUCCAGAAGGAAGCCCGGCUAACUACGUGC